rnacentral:lncRNA from 1 species
AAAAUAGGGUUUGCUUAUUUCUUUCCUUUGCAAUAAACAAUUUUCAACAGUAUAAUAGCUUAAAUAGGUGAUUGUGAUGUCACCCUUAGGAUAUAAUCACUGCUUGUCACAUCGUUUCUGUAGAAAAACCAACUCACAUAGGAUGAAAUGUGAUGGGGUGAAAUCAUGGCAGUGUGAUUUUCAAACACCAACUUGCCUUGGAAGGGAAUGUGGGGAUGUGCACUGCUGGAAGCCAUGUGUUCUGAUAUGAGAAGAACUUCUUCAGAAGGUAUCUUAAUGCAUAUGGGGAAACUGAGGCCCAGAUUGCACAUACAUGAGUUGCCCUGGAGAAUCCCAAGUCAAAGAAGCUGCACUGCAGGAAAUCAAUAUGGUGCAGGCCCCAGGCAAGGCAUCACUGACUACACUUGCAAGAAACAAACGCCUGCAAAAAUCAGGACAGGAUGAUUUUGAAGCUGUGCAAAACAGACAUGGCAUAGGAGACACAGCAAUAACUAAGGGGCAACUAUUGCAUCCAGGAAAAAAAAAAGAAGAUAAUGACUUCUCUGCAACUAAGAUGAAGAUCCACUGAACUUUGGGGUUUGAAAUGCAACGUUAGAACUUCAGACUCCCGGCACCUAGGUCUCCAGAUGCUGGGUGGUGCCAGCAUCAGAGAUUCACUCUGCAAAACAUAUACUGUCUUAGGAAAAAGUGACCCUGUUGUCCUUUCAGGCCCAUAUUCCACAGAAGACAAAUGGAGAUGUAAAAGGAAAACUGCAGCUCUGAGUUAAGAGAGAGCAAGUUGUCUGUUCUGAUACAGCCAGGAAAUAAGAUGUUCUGGUUAAUAUGUGCUAAAGAUGUGGUGCUGACUUUCCGACUCAGAAUAUGAUCACAUGUUUUUCUCAUUAAAACUAUAUUGAAUGUUA